rnacentral:pre_miRNA from 1 species
GGGGAGAAUCUGUAAAGCUCAGGAGGGAUAGCGCCGUCUCGAGGUGUUUUAAUAUAUCAUCGAUCGAUGGAUGGCGCUAUCUAUCCUGAGUUUCAUGGCUUCUUCUU